rnacentral:rRNA from 1 species
UACAGAGGGUGCGAGCGUUGUCCGGAAUUAUUGGGCGUAAAGAGCUCGUAGGCGGUGUGUCGCGUCGGCCGUGAAAACCUGGGGCUCAACUCUGGGCGUGCGGUCGAUACGGGCAUCACUUGAGUUCGGCAGGGGAGACUGGAAUUCCUGGUGUAGCGGUGAAAUGCGCAGAUAUCAGGAGGAACACCGGUGGCGAAGGCGGGUCUCUGGGCCGAUACUGACGCUGAGGAGCGAAAGCAUGGGUAGCGAACAGG